GCGCUCUGACGAAGAUGGCGA
rnacentral:siRNA from 1 species